rnacentral:rRNA from 1 species
AGUGAACGCUGGCGGUAGGCCUAACACAUGCAAGUCGAACGGCAGCACAGUAAGAGCUUGCUCUUACGGGUGGCGAGUGGCGGACGGGUGAGGAAUACAUCGGAAUCUACUUUUUCGUGGGGGCUAACGUAGGGAAACUUACGCUAAUACCGCAUACGACCUACGGGUGAAAGCAGGGGAUCUUCGGACCUUGCGCGAUUGAAUGAGCCGAUGUCGGAUUAGCUAGUUGGCGGGGUAAAGGCCCACCAAGGCGACGAUCCGUAGCUGGUCUGAGAGGAUGAUCAGGCACCCUGGAACUGAGGAACGGUCCAGACUCCGACGGGAGGCAGCAGUGGGGAAUAUUGGACAAUGGGCGCAAGGCUGAUCCAGCCAUACCGCGUGGGUGAAGAAGGCCUUCGGGUUGUAAAGCCCUUUUGUUGGGAAAGAAAAGCAGCAGGUUAAUACCCCGCUGUUCUGACGGUACCCAAAGAAUAAGCACCGGCUAACUUCGUG